UACAGAGGUCUCAAGCGUUGUUCGGAUUCAUUGGGCGUAAAGGGUGUGUAGGUGGCGCCGUAAGUCGGGUGUGAAAUCUCGGGGCUUAACUCCGAAACUGCAUUCGAUACUGCGGUGCUUGAGGACUGGAGAGGAGACUGGAAUUCAUGGUGUAGCAGUGAAAUGCGUAGAGAUCAUGAGGAAGACCAGUGGCGAAGGCGGGUCUCUGGACAACUCCUGACACUGAGGCACGAAAGCUAGGGGAGCAAACAGG
rnacentral:rRNA from 1 species